rnacentral:rRNA from 1 species
GGCCUUGCGCUCUUUGAGCGGCCGAUGUCAGAUUAGCUAGUUGGUGAGGUAACGGCUUACCAAGGCGACGAUCUGUAGCGGGUCUGAGAGGAUGAUCCGCCACACUGGAACUGAGACACGGUCCAGACUCCUACGGGAGGCAGCAGUGGGGAAUUUUGGACAAUGGGGGCAACCCUGAUCCAGCCAUGCCGCGUGAGUGAAGAAGGCCUUCGGGUUGUAAAGCUUUUUCGGCCGGGAAGAAAUCGCAUGGGCCAAUACCCUGUGUGGAUGACGGUACCGGAAUAAGAAGCACCGGCUAACUACGUGCCAGCAGCCGCGGUAAUACGUAGGGUGCGGGCGUUAAUCGGAAUUACUGGGCGUAAAGCGUGCGCAGGCGGUUUUGUAAGACAGGCGUGAAAUCCCCGGGCUCAACCUGGGAACUGCGUUUGUGACUGCAAGGCUAGAGUACGGCAGAGGGGGGUGGAAUUCCACGUGUAGCAGUGAAACGCGUAGAGAUGUGGAGGAACACCAAUGGCGAAGGCAGCCCCCUGGGUCGAUACUGACGCUCAUGCACGAAAGCGUGGGUAGUAAACAGGAUUAGAUACCCUGGUAGUCCACGCCCUAAACUAUGUCAACUAGGUGUUGGGUGGGUAAAACCAUUUAGUACCGUAGCUAACGCGUGAAGUUGACCGCCUGGGGAGUACGGCCGCAAGGUUAAAACUCAAAGGAAUUGACGGGGACCCGCACAAGCGGUGGAUGAUGUGGAUUAAUUCGAUGCAACGCGAAAAACCUUACCUACCCUUGACAUGCCAGGAACUUGCCAGAGAUGGCUUGGUGCCCGAAAGGGACCUGGACACAGGUGCUGCAUGGCUGUCGUCAGCUCGUGUCGUGAGAUGUUGGGUUAAGUCCCGCAACGAGCGCAACCCUUGUCGUUGAUUGCCAUCAUUUAGUUGGGCACUUUAGCGAGACUGCCGGUGACAAACCGGAGGAAGGUGGGGAUGACGUCAAGUCCUCAUGGCCCUUAUGGGUAGGGCUUCACACGUCAUACAAUGGUCGGUACAAAGGGUCGCCAAGCCGCGAGGUGGAGCCAAUCCCAGAAAGCCGAUCGUAGUCCGGAUUGCAGGCUGCAACUCGCCUGCAUGAAGUCGGAAUCGCUAGUAAUCGUGGAUCAGCAUGUCACGGUGAAUACGUUCCCGGGUCUUGUACACACCGCCCGUCACACCAUGGGAGCGGGUUCCGCCAGAAGUAGGUAGCCUAACCGCAAGGAGGGCGCUUACCACGGCGGGGUUCGUGACUGGGGUGAAGUCGU